rnacentral:rRNA from 1 species
GAUGAACGCUGGCGGCGUGCCUAAUACAUGCAAGUCGAGCGAACAGACGAGGAGCUUGCUCCUCUGACGUUAGCGGCGGACGGGUGAGUAACACGUGGAUAACCUACCUAUAAGACUGGGAUAACUUCGGGAAACCGGAGCUAAUACCGGAUAAUAUAUUGAACCGCAUGGUUCAAUAGUGAAAGACGGUUUUGCUGUCACUUAUAGAUGGAUCCGCGCCGCAUUAGCUAGUUGGUAAGGUAACGGCUUACCAAGGCAGCGAUGCGUAGCCGACCUGAGAGGGUGAUCGGCCACACUGGAACUGAGACACGGUUCAGACUCCUACGGGAGGCAGCAGUAGGGAAUCUUCCGCAAUGGGCGAAAGCCUGACGGAGCAACGCCGCGUGAGUGAUGAAGGUCUUCGGAUCGUAAAACUCUGUUAUUAGGGAAGAACAAAUGUGUAAGUAACUAUGCACGUCUUGACGGUACCUAAUCAGAAAGCCACGGCUAACUACGUG